rnacentral:sRNA from 1 species
AUGCCGCACUCGCCGACCUAAGAGGCGGGAGGGCGAAUGCUGUCAGCCCCGUGUGUCACA